rnacentral:lncRNA from 1 species
AGUUUAGGUACUUACUUUCAGCUUGUGCUUGGGUUAGCAGAUAGAAGGAUAAUUUCCUACCCUUGCACCCUUCCUUCUCUGGCUAUUACUCCAUCUUCUCUCCCAUCAGAAGGAUAUGUUCUAUAACGUGGCUGGACCAUAUGAUCCUGUGGCUUGCUGACAUGGGAGGCGGUCCUGCAACUCUCCUCCCCUUCUUCUGAACUCCAAAUGCUUCCUUUGUGCCAGUGCUGGUAUUCACAUUACCCCACAAUGAGCUGGUUUAAGAAGUCAAGUCAAUAGAAAACUAUCACAAGAAAUACUGUUUUUUAGGUCACUGUCUGACAUAGAGGAAGCUCUCUUACAUGGGGAAGCUCUCUCAGUUUGCAGUUCUUCAAGUUGCACACUGAUUUCUUUUCUUGUGACAGUCUUAAACCUUCUUCCCUGUCUGGUAGCAGUGUUUCCCUGACUGCUGGUCAGAAGAUGGAGACAGAUGUAAAGCUAUUAAGCUUCAGAGAAAAUUUUCUUUAAACAUCUCUACUAUUUGUUUUGGGAAGAGCAAUGAUCUCUGAGCAGCAUUACUGCUCUUCUAAGCCGUUCCUUCCGUAAUACUCAGCACAGUUAGUCUGGUCGUAUCAGUCAAAAAGACUCUUCAGCAAAUGCAUAGAUCUGAGCAGUUCCAUAACCCCCGCUGACCCUUAGCUUCUUUUCUGCCUAUUAGGUCCAGUACAUUUGCAUGAGGAAUAAAGGAAAUCCUAAUGGCAGGCUGGCACAUUAAUAGAUGGAAGCAGAUGGAACCUUUGAGAACUGCAGAACAGAAAAGGAAAAUAAUCCUAUUUCAGUGGAUUCAGGGUGUGUUAUGAACGUCCCAAGUCAAUUAAUAUCUGCGCAGAAAUGUUUCAUUUGGUAAGAAAACUUUCCAGAUGAAUGUUUAUUCAGAAGCUGCUUAUAAAAGUGGCUACUUGUAGGGACUGGAAAGAAGAGUGGAAGGAGACAGGGAGCAAUAGCGUUGUACCAAAAUAUAUAAAGAAAAAUUUAAAGCUUUUCAGUUAAAAAAAAUUGUAUAUUCAACUCUCAUUAGACACAGAUGUGCACAACAGACAGAGCAGUUAGAAACAAGUACAUUUUUACAAAGCUUUCUUUUCAUGGUUAAUUUCUACCAGCACUUUGGAAGGUAACCUACUAAAAUGAUGACCCUGUUUAUAAUAAAGGCGCAAAAUAUUGCUCUGUAGCAUAUUUUGAAAAUAAUAUAAAAAUAAUUUCUAUAUUACAAUUUAAACUUGGCUUGUAAAAUUCCAACAUAAUACAGCCUUAAGUCUACAAACAGAACAUACUUAGAAACACCUUUGUGGUUUUUUCCUCUCAUUUAUAACAAUAUAGUAUUUUUAGUCAUAUACACUGGAAAUUAAUGUGCAAAUUAAAAUCAAUAUUAGUGCCUGUUAUUGAAAUAAUUUAAAUUCUAUGCUGUAUACCAUUUGGUGAUCCUCUAUGUAAGCUGCCAUACCUUAAAAGAAAUACGCUUCAAGUACACUGACAGAGACUUAAAAUACACUAAGCUGAAAAGCCAUCUACAAUCAGCAUCAGUUAUUUUGCUUUACUGAACCUACGUUUAUUUGAGAUUAUUGUGGUUUCUAUCAACAUACGGGUUUCUAACUGUGCAAAAACAUUCCCAGUGUUAUGAAGACCUUACUCCCGUACUAGCUCAUAUUCUAUUCUCACAUCCAGCUUUCAAGCUGUGCGUCUGUGAAGCACCUGG